UUAAAAUCUGUAGCCACACACCUUCAAGCAGCAGUUCCGAACUCCCCACCAACCGGCAACCAUGGUAACUCUUCAUCCAAUCUGUAUUUGUGACUGUAUUUUAUGUGUUGCAUAUUUCAGGCGGACGUGGAAGCCGAGGUCAGGUGCCGAAAAAGAGAACGUUCAAGAAGUUUAGCUUCCACCGAUGACCUCGUCAAGCUCCUCAGUGCCCGAGCCCGAAGACGAUUCCAGAGAGGUUUGAAGAGGAAGCCCAUGGCCUUGAUUAAGAAGCUGCAAACGUGAAGCCCCAGCGCCUUAGUCAGGACCCACGUGAGGAACAUGAUCAUCGUUCCUGAGAUGAUAGGAAGUGUUUUGGGAGUGUACAACGGAAAGACCUCUACCUCGCUGAGUUCUCUAUCUCGUACAAACCCAGUCAAGCACGGUAGGCCUGGUAUUGGUGCCCCACCCACUCCUCACGAUUCAUUCCUGUCAAGUAUAAGUUGUGUGUGGUGAUAGUCUACCAGACUCAGUGUGCUUGUGUGCAUUGGCUAGGCUAGCUCUAUUUGGGACUAUUUCCUACGUGCUGGAAAGGGAAAAUGUUGAGUUUCCCAAGUUUUGUUGUUGUGAUACUGUUUAGUUCUGCUACAAAUUUAGUGAAAGACAACUUCAUCUUCA